CCAGCAGGCAGGAUAAAUGAUUCCGAGCCCUUACUGCAUUCCAAACACUCUGCCCCCUCGCCUGAUCUCUGAGAGCCCAGACUUACAGACCAAAGCAAAACCAAUAAACAGACACACCCCAGCCUUUUCCGGGCCGUCAGUGAUGUGUGUUUCACCAGGAAGACGAGGUCUGGCGCCAUGGCUCCAACCCUAGUGCCGAACCUGAGCAGGCAGAGGGCUCCACGCAGGACCCCCAGGUCAAGCUGGUGACCCCCGUCUGCCCUUAGUGAUGUGGCCAGAUGUGGAAGAGGUGUUGGAGCCCCAUCCAGAGGAGCUUUGUGAGAGCCGCCAGCACCCGACUGGGGAGGCCAGGAAGCCACGGCCGGCACUCAGAGCGAGGGAGCUCAGGCCCAGCUCAGCAAGGAGGCUCGACUAGAAGCCAGGCCCUUACCCAGGCCACUCCGUGGGACCCUCUGGAAGUGUUUCUCAUAACAAGAAGAGGUGGCUGUGCAGGAAGGAAACUCGGAGACUCUGUGUGACCUGUUGUCUGCCGUCAUUAGACCGGUCUGAGCUUGUAUCCAGACUCCGUGAGGCCCUGGGAUCCCAGCCAGGUGCUCAGCUCUGGGCGAGUUUCAUCCUCAUGAAUAAUGGGGAUAAAAUACCCAAUUUUAGGCUCGCUGUGGAAGAAAUUGAGAGGCUCCCUGUACUAUUCCCAGUCAACCUGAGCCUCUUGUUUCCUGAGAAGACAAACACGACAUCCACCAUUAUCGCUGCUGGGCCAGAAGAAGGGAUUAAUGAACUCCAGUCCUCACAGAAGCCCCACGGAAAGAGGCCGUCACCCCCACUCUACCCUGGGGAACAGGGGUCACAAAACUGCUAAGGAGCCAGUCAGAGCUGGUAACGGGAUGGAGAGCCCAGGACUCAAACCAGUCACAGGUCCUGUGCUGUUCCUCGGUCAUCUUCCUGAUAGAAAAGAGGAAAGUGCCUCCGAAGAGCCACCGUGCAGAGUAUGAGGGAGUGGGAUAAGGAUUAAAAGAAGACAGCACCAUAGAGCAAGAUGAGAGAGGUUUCCAAAGGCUGCGUCUAGGACGAGCCAGGGGACCUUGAUAGCUGAGACGUUAACUCUGCAGAGAGGAGGAGAAGAUGAACCAGAGGACGCCUAGAACCGGUGAGCACCACGCAGGGUCCUUCAGAGACGGGCGGAGUCCGUGCUGAGAGCUCCCUCCAAGGCUGGGAUAGCUUGGGCACUUCUCUUUGCUCACGGAGAAAUCCCAAAGGCAUUUGGUUUUCUUUGAGGCCUCUACUCCCCAUUUCUUGGUGGCCAUUAUUAGUUCAAUCAAAAGGUGGCAGCCUUGAGGGGCGAAUGAGCCCCCUCUUCUGAGCCAGGAGCCCGCUUCCGAAGGUGUAGCAGGCUCCGGUUUCAAGUCCCUGAUCAGGGCCAGCUGUAGCCGACCCACCCCGUCGACUCGUUGGGGACCUAGACCUGCUACUUCCUUCUCCCUGACCUGGGGGUGAAUGAGGAGGAUGAAUGGCAAACAGACACAGAGUCAGUUUAAUUUUCAGGCAGCCAGAGGAGGCCCUAGUGUCUGACUCAUCUUGCCUCUAUUUACCCGAAUGGGUGCAAGCAAUCAGAGAAACACAGGAUCCACCUGCUUUCCGGGAUUCAUUACUACAAACUCUGGUAAACAACUUAACCUCCGGCGUCCUAACUUUUCCCUGGAUCCCGCACUAUGCGGUCACCCCUGAGAGCAGCCUUCCUCCUUUGUGCUCACAGAGGGGCCAGCUAGGCCUCAGUUCUCCUCUGCUCUCUGGCACUCAGGUGCAAGAGGGUAACCUUGCUUCUAUCCCAAAGCCAAGCCUGAGCCACCAUGGGUGGAGGCAGGAGACAUCCAAGGUCACAUAGAUGUAAAGCUUGACUUGGGGCCCAGCUGCUGUGGCCAGAGGCUGUCCUUCCACCAAUGAUGUCGCUAACCUGAGGAGCUGGAGCCAGCAGCGCUUGAUGCCCUGCCAUCCCGCUACUGCCAGCAACAGGACUCUGCUCCUCUGACCUUUGGCCCAGGCGCCUCCCGUUGCAUCUCCUCCCAACACUUCCCAUGGUGCCCGCUGGAGUCCCCUGUCCACUGUCGAAUCCCCAACCUGUUCUUUGACUUUUGACAUUAAAACAAAAGAAAGAGAUGGAAAGAAAUGUCAGCAAUUUUCUGUUUCCCCUGUUGUUUUAGGCUGA
ensembl:lncRNA